rnacentral:misc_RNA from 1 species
GAUGAAGAACGUAGCGAAAUGCGAUACGUAAUGUGAAUUGCAAAUUCAGUGAAUCAUCGAGUCUUUGAACGCAUAUUGCGCCCCCUGGUAUUCCGGGGGGCAUGCCUGUCCGAGCGUCAUUGCUGCCCUCAAGCACGGCUUGUGUGUUGGGCCCCGUCCUCCGAUCCCGGGGGACGGGCCCGAAAGGCAGCGGCGGCACCGCGUCCGGUCCUCGAGCGUAUGGGGCUUUGUCACCCGCUCUGUAGGCCCGGCCGGCGCUUGCCGAUCAACCCAAAUUUUUUAUCCAGGUUGACCUCGGAUCAGGUAGGGAUACCCGCUGAACUUAAGCAUAUCAAUAAGCGGAGG